UUUGAAUCUCAUGUUAGAUGGCGGCUAAACCACUUACUACUGAGGCUAUUGCCGUAACUGAGAAGAAGAUGGACAUGGCUUUAGACGAUAUUAUCAAAAUGUCCAAAAAUACUGCAAAUAAAGCCAGGAAGGAAAGAAGGUUUUCGAACAAAAUGCAGAAAUUUCCAAAUAAUGCUACUCAAGAUAGACCUAGGAAGUUGCAGCGUUUCAUGGAUUCAAGAUCUUCUGCAAGACAGGUUUG